rnacentral:misc_RNA from 1 species
CUGUGAUUAUUGGUCCCCCCCGGGGGGGGCCCCCCCACCCCCCAACCCCUUUUCCUAUUCCGGGAUUUUUUUUUUAAACCCA